rnacentral:rRNA from 1 species
GAGUUUGAUCAUGGCUCAGGACGAACGCUGGCGGCGCGCCUAACACAUGCAAGUCGAACGAGCGAGAGAGAGCUUGCUUUCUCGAGCGAGUGGCGAACGGGUGAGUAACGCGUGAGGAACCUGCCUCAAAGAGGGGGACAACAGUUGGAAACGACUGCUAAUACCGCAUAAGCCCACGACCCGGCAUCGGGUUGAGGGAAAAGGAGCAAUCCGCUUUGAGAUGGCCUCGCGUCCGAUUAGCUAGUUGGUGAGGUAACGGCCCACCAAGGCGACGAUCGGUAGCCGGACUGAGAGGUUGAACGGCCACAUUGGGACUGAGACACGGCCCAGACUCCUACGGGAGGCAGCAGUGGGGAAUAUUGCACAAUGGGGGAAACCCUGAUGCAGCGACGCCGCGUGGAGGAAGAAGGUCUUCGGAUUGUAAACUCCUGUUGUUGAGGAAGAUAAUGACGGUACUCAACAGGAAGUGACGGCUAACUACGUGCCAGCAGCCGCCGUAAC